rnacentral:rRNA from 1 species
CCUACGGGGGGCAGCAGUGGGGAAUAUUGGACAAUGGGGGGAACCCUGAUCCAGCCAUGCCGCGUGUGUGAAGAAGGCCCUCGGGUUGUAAAGCACUUUCAGUGAGGAAGAACGCCUGGUGGUUAAUACCCAUCAGGAAAGACAUCACUCACAGAAGAAGCACCGGCUAACUCCGUGCCAGCAGCCGCGGUAAUACGGAGGGUGCGAGCGUUUAUCGGAAUUACUGGGCGUAAAGCGCGCGUAGGUGGCUUGAUAAGCCGGUUGUGAAAGCCCCGGGCUCAACCUGGGAACGGCAUCCGGAACUGUCAAGCUAGAGUGCAGGAGAGGAAGGUAGAAUUCCCGGUGUAGCGGUGAAAUGCGUAGAGAUCGGGAGGAAUACCAGUGGCGAAGGCGGCCUUCUGGACUGACACUGACACUGAGGUGCGAAAGCGUGGGUAGCAAACAGGAUUAGAUACCCGAGUAGUC